AUGAGAGGACAUUUUAGUCAGCUACUUAGCUUGCUGUUUGGAGAUGGGGGCGAACAAAAUUUUCUCAAUACCAUCUAUUGUAAUUUUUUUUGAACUGUAAGGGGCGAAUGCCCCAAACCAGCUACACCUGGGUCCGUCCACUACUACAGAAAACACCUUUUGCCACGCCUCAAUUGCCAUGGUUAUAGGCGGAACCGUGGCAAAAGGUCAAUUACCACGGUUAUAAACGGAACCGUGGCAAAAGGUGACAAUAUUUUAUUAUUUUUUUUAGGAACCGUGGUAAUAUCUUUUUCCUUUCCCUUCUCAAAAUUCAAAACCCUAGCUUGGUCUUUUCUCAUUCUCGCGUGCAGCUUGCUGCUUCUCGCCGUGCGAAAUAAAAAACCGCACCUUCCUAGAUCUCUGCUUCUCGCCGUGUUGCUUCGUCUUCUCCGUCGCUUCCAUCACUCAAGCUUGGGUUCUGCUUUUUCUUCACCGAGGUCGUCCGCUCCAGCGCAACUGCAUCCCACGGCGCGCCGCACCUUCCGCUGCCAUUAUCGAGGUUUGUUUAGGGUGGUUUUUUUGUUGCCCAGUAGAUUAUUUGAGUAAAGAAUGAAACUUUCUGUCAUUAGAUCUUCUCCGUCUUCCUGAGUUCCUUUCAAUUUCUUUGGCCUUUUUGUUUCUCUGUUCUUUCUUCUCGUUGGAUCUGUGAGAGAAAUCGUUGAGGAAAUCGAAGUGGUGUUGUUCUUCCUCUUGAUUUCGUUUUUUCUUUCAAAGGCCGUGAAAGACAAUCAAUUUGGCUUGUUUUUGUUUGUAUUUAGUUCUAUGUGAAUGGCUCUGAUUACAGGUACUGAUUUGAUUAGGGUUCUGUUUUCUAAAAGAUCAAUUUUGCCCCAUUCUUAGAUGCUCAGUGAUUAGUUAUGCUUGAUACGUUUUCUGAAAUGAGUUUGAAGGUCACAUUUACACAACACCUUGUUUUUUUCAGCCAGUCAUUUUUGGCUGUUUGGCAUUAUAUCACCUGUUAAUCUUUUAUUUAGAUUUAUAACAUGUGUACUGGAAUCUCUAUUCAAUAUGGAACUUAGCAUCUGUUCUGCACUCCAUUGUUUUAUAACAUUGCUCAAGGUGUUUUAUAAUCAACAUCACUUCUAUGAUUUCCUACAAGUUCACUUUUGGCAGAAGAUGGCACAGUCUUUUACUAGAGAGCCUGAGCCUAGAUUGUUUGCUAAAUUGCUAGCUAAUGUUGUUGUUAACCCGUUAUUUCCCAAUUACUGAACUUUCCGCAGAUGUUACAGUAUUUUAACUUCAUUUUACUCUCACUAUAUUGUUUAGGCAUUCUUGGUCAGGGAUAAUAUAUUUGAUCUGUUAAAACUUAAAAUAGACAUUUUCUGAUUUUCAAUGUUGUGGUUACUGGUUAUGAACUUAUGGUACCUUGCUUCUGGUUUCUCAUGUACUUUAGUUAAAGUUCACAUUGCUUCUCUCUUAACAAACCCUCCUCUCCAAAUGAGUUCACUGUGCAGAAAGCUCUAGAGGGUAGAGCUGGAUUGUACUGAUAGUCAAUCAGAUGUAUGUAUGAGAGAUGUAUCGACAUUAACACUGCCUCUAUUAAUCAACCUCACAUCUUAUUCAAUGUUUAGGGUUUAACAAUGGUUUUUGGAUGCUGUUUUUGACAUUUAGUUGCAUAUUGGAGGCACAAAAAUUGGCGUUGAAAUUUUGACUUGUGGAAGCAUCACUAUGGCUCUUUGGAUGCCCGCAUGUUCCAUAUCAUAUUUGCUUUUUGCAGCUGCAAACGCUGGCGUCUAAGUGCUCCAUACCGUUGAUGGACAUCCACUCUCCUGUUAAUGCUGUGGAUGACAACAUCAUAAGUAAACUUGAAAGUAUUUUUGAAUAGUCAUUGCAUAUACAAGAUGCUGAGAAGUCAGAACAUAUUUCCAAGGGGGUGAUAUUGAUAAAUGUAAUGAGGGCGACGGGAGCUUAUGUGAAGGUUUUGAACAUGAAGAAACCAAAAUAAAGACAAGCUCUUCUGAUGAGGCUGCUACAUUGAUAGAAUCACUCUCUGCUGAGGAAAUGUUGCUGCUACUGUUGCAACAAAGGUGGAUCCAGCUUAGAGGCCACCAGCAAAAAUGUCAAGACCUUCAGUUCAGUUCUCACAGCUAGAAGCAAGGUAGUUAAUUGUUCCUUUCUUUUUUCUUCUUUGAUUAUCUUCAAUUUUGGAAUUUGAUUUGGGAUUUUGUGUGGUCAUUUAAAUUUAGUUUGGAUCGAGUACAAUGACUUUAAUUUCAAAUGAUCCAUAUGAAGUGUGAUAAUAGUUUUGUUGUUGUUGUUGUUCAUGUGUGGUCUACCAAUAAAAUUUGUCUACCUCAGGCUGCUGCUGGACUCGCUUAUAAGCUGAAGGAUUUGGUAAUGAGCAUUGAUUCAACUGACAUGGACAAUGAAUUUUCUGCAAUUGAGUACAUUGAUGAUAUCUAUAACUUUUACAAACUCACUGAAGUGAUGGCCUGGACUUUGUGUUUUUAUGUAGCAGCAGAUGGUUAUAUAUCUGUGCUAAUUACUGGUGACUGCUGUGCUUGUGUCUUCUGACCCAAGAGCAACAAAUAUGUUUGCUUUCCACUUUAGCCUACAAGUUUUGACUUGGUUGUACAUUUUGCUGCUAGUGCUGCUUCAUCCGAAUUGGUUGAAGGGUUUCUCUAUACAGAAAAAGCCUUUCAUUUAAAGAGAUAUAAAUUGUCUCUAACAAGGUGACACUCACUGCCUUCGCACUGCUAUGGAAAGGAAUAUUCAUGAAGUGCAUUUCUUGGAAUAUUCAUGAAGUGCUGUGCUAGGCUCAACUGAACAGCGAUGAGGUCUGCAUUGCUAUUGCUUGGACGCUGUGGAACCUAAGGAAUAUGAUCAUCUUCAAGGAAGGGCAUUUGGAUGGGGAACGAGUUGUGGAGAUAGCACAGUUAAGGGCAUGGAACUGGCUAAGAGCGAAGAAGAAGGAUUUCAAAUUUUCCACAUAUGAAUGGGUAGUCAAUCCAAGGUACUGCAUUGGAAGCUUGUAAAUGUUAUCUGAUGCUACUCUCCUAGAGUUCUUUCUCACGUUGCUUACUGCUUUCAAGUCUGUGGGCCUCCAGAGAGUUCAAUCCUUGGUGGUAUAUUGCUUACGAGUAGUACUGCUUCUUCUAGGAUAGGUAGAUGUUGUAUAUAUAUUAUGCCUGGGUGCUUGAGUACAGAGUUUAGUUUUGAGCAGGUUUUGUAGGAACAUGUUUCUGGUUAAUCUGCUCUGUUUUUUUUCCUUUUGGACCCUUGUAAUCAUUUGGGUUGAGGUACCCCUAGUACCUCCUUAAAUGAAUAUUUUGCUUACCCAAAAAAAAUAAUAUUGAUUUUGUUGUUUUA